CAGCUCCUGGGGGUGUCCGGCCUUCCUUAGUGGGGUCUUCUUACAUCUGCAGCACAGUUAGCACCCUUGCCAGCCUCCAGCCAGCCCAUAGCAAACACUGCAGGGCUAAUGCUGGCUGGUGCCCACACUGGAAAGAAAAGGGUAAUACAAUCACCGCCAGCCACACCCCGAGGAGUAACUCCAUCAGCCAGACAGCUCCGAGGGUUCCUCAAGACAGGCUCAGUGCUCAGCAUCCUGUGUGCAGCAGCGUAUUCCAGGAUGGGAUGUCAUCCGGGACUAAAUUAAGAAGAGAAAAGGUGAGUUGAGCGGUAGCACCCUUCCUCUGCUUCCUGGCUGCAGCCGCCAUGCUCUUGCCUCCACGCCUUCCUGCCACAAGAGACUGUGCGCCCUCCAACCGUGAGCCACAAGCCUCCCUUCUUUAAGCUGUCAUAGCAAUGACAAUAACAGAUACAAGGAGGUAUAAGGCACCGAGUGGGGCUGGCUACAACAGCAAGCCCUGACUCCGGUGACACCGAGGCAGCAAUGAGGUGACAUGGGGGCAGGAACCCUGGGUCAAAGCAGCUAGGAGCCUCUGGCUUCUCAAUGGCAUGGCAGAGACAGGAGAGGAU
ensembl:lincRNA Gm13026 predicted gene 13026